UACGAAGGGUGCAAGCGUUAAUCGGAAUUACUGGGCGUAAAGGGUGCGUAGGCGGUUUGUUAAGUCUGUUGUGAAAUCCCCGGGCUCAACCUGGGAAUGGCAAUGGAUACUGGCAGGCUAGAGUGUGUCAGAGGAUGGUGGAAUUUCCGGUGUAGCGGUGAAAUGCGUAGAGAUCGGAAGGAACAUCAGUGGCGAAGGCGGCCAUCUGGGACAACACUGACGCUGAAGCACGAAAGCGUGGGGAGCAAACAGGAUUAGAUACCCUGGUAGUCCACGCCCUAAACGAUGCGAACUGGAUGUUGGUCUCAACUCGGAGAUCAGUGUCGAAGCUAACGCGUUAAGUUCGCCGCCUGGGGAGUACGGUCGCAAGACUGAA
rnacentral:rRNA from 1 species